rnacentral:rRNA from 1 species
AUGAACGCUGGCGGCGUGCCUAAUACCUGCAAGUCGAGCGAACAGACGAGGAGCUUGCUCCUCUGACGUUAGCGGCGGACGGGUGAGUAACACGUGGAUAACCUACCUAUAAGACUGGGAUAACUUCGGGAAACCGGAGCUAAUACCGGAUAAUAUAUUGAACCGCAUGGUUCAAUAGUGAAAGAUGGUUUUGCUGUCACUUAUAGAUGGAUCCGCGCCGCAUUAGCUAGUUGGUAAGGUAACGGCUUACCAAGGCAACGAUGCGUAGCCGACCUGAGAGGGUGAUCGGCCACACUGGAACUGAGACACGGUCCAGACUCCUACGGGAGGCAGCAGUAGGGAAUCUUCCGCAAUGGGCGAAAGCCUGACGGAGCAACGCCGCGUGAGUGAUGAAGGUCUUCGGAUCGUAAAACUCUGUUAUUAGGGAAGAACAAAUGUGUAAGUAACUAUGCACGUCUUGACGGUACCUAAUCAGAAAGCCACGGCUAACUACGUG